UCCUUCGAUAGUCUCGUGAUGAACUCGGUAAAAGAUGAGAGGAAUCGAGACUACGUAAAAUAUAUAUAUAUAUAUAACUACUAUACAUAACAAUAGGAAUUUAUUUAACGUAAAUGUGAUAAAAGUAUAGAAGUUUAGAACAGCACGUUCCCAAUGCCCUUACAGGUUCGCAUUAUGUCGGUUGAAUGGAGUUUGAACAUAGCUACAAUAAAAUAACAUCCGUCUCCUAAGCUACAUAGGCUGAAUGGAGUUUGAUUAAAGUGAUCAUCGCCGAGUUCUUCAUCACCAAAAUCAUCAUCUCUUUUUCCGGCAGACGUCAUAGGACGAACAGGUAACGGGCCAAUGGGAUCAACAUAAGGAGUACCUACAGAAAAUACUUUACAUGCACUUGUAACACCUCUUUGUGUAGUAUUUCCUUUUAAAUUGUUUAAAUGAUCGAUAAUAAACAAUAGGAUGCCGUACAAGUUUGGGAUUCAUUAUUGUAUACAAGGAUCAAAAAUAGGCUGUUCAAAAUAGCUAGACUCAUCUAUCAUCUAUUCAAUCCAUUAGCGUAGUCCAACUAUCAUCGGUAAAUCAUCCUUGUUAAUGUUCAUUUCAAAUAAAGCUACGUAUUCCCGACACUUUGAUAACUGUACUAAGCAUUCGUAUAUCUACUAUUUCGCAAAUUAUACCGAUCGUAAAAUUUAUUAUUUUUUUGUACGAUUUCAACGUAAAAGAGUGCGUACCUGUUUGAUCAGUGACAUCGUUUGCCACGUCCGUAAUAUUUUCAGUUGCAGAAACUCGAUUAGGUCGCGUGAUACCAGCGCUACUUAAACCUUGAUUUUCUCUUCUAUUAAACGUGGGACUUGACCUGUGGUCUGAUAAUACGCUCAUUCCAGAACCAGUUCGUGAUGAUGUCCCGCUAUUACUCCUUCUUGAGCCUAUAUAUAGGUGGUGCAGGCCCUCUGGUAGAACUAUUCAUAUUCAAUGGAUCAAAUGGUUGACGAUUACUACUAGUAUAACCAGCUCCUCUGACUGCAGUCAUUGGCCUUAGUCCACUAGUAUUAGGACGCACUGGUAUACCAGUACCACUUCUGUGAAACUAUAAAUAUUAAAUUGCAUAUUAAAACAAUAUUAUGAAAUACAA